UGCACUGCUGUAGAAGACCCUCCCUUGCUUCCCAGGUCACUCUCAGCAGUGAGAUAUCUUCUAGGAUGAACUCCUGUGAAAAAUGUGGGGACAAUGUUCAGUAUAGGGGCCCGCUGCCGCUGUUGGCUCUCCCCAAGGCACAGAAACCCAGAGGACAGUACAGCCGUGAAACAAUCACUCACGCUUGACCCUGUGCUUACUCACCAUUAUAGGGCUCCUGGGGGUUAUGUGUGCUUGCUUUGGGAUGGGCAAAUUAUGCUAUUGUGUACACUGUGCUUGCCCUUAAGUAUGGGGGAAUUAUUGCUCUGUCUGGCGUGAACAAUGCUGCCUCUGUAAAGUGUUGCAUUUUGCCUUUACAGAUGCAACCUUCACAUUACAGCCGUCCGUGUUAUCACCAGCCGAAAGACUCCAAAGAAUCCGAAAGAAGCCAUGUAGAAGCAGGGAAGACAUGCUGAAUGAAGUAAUGCAGCAUUCAAGUAAUGAAAAUCAAAAAGUGCAAGAGUGGCAGGAGAGUGAAAGGAGGGUCCAGCAGCAGAAUGCGGAUCGCUGGCACCAAAGCACAGAGCGGCUGCUAAGCACCAAACGGAUUCGAUACAGGCGCUCGUAGCAGUGCAGGCGGAGCACAACCGC